AUUGAACGCUGGCGGCAUGCUUUACACAUGCAAGUCGGACGGCAGCACAGAGAAGCUUGCUUCUUGGGUGGCGAGUGGCGAACGGGUGAGUAACAUAUCGGAACGUACCGAGCAGUGGGGGAUAACUAAUCGAAAGAUUAGCUAAUACCGCAUAUCUUCUGAGGAAGAAAGCAGGGGACCAUUUGGCCUUGCGCUGUUUGAGCGGCCGAUAUCUGAUUAGCUAGUUGGUGGGGUAAAGGCCUACCAAGGCGACGAUCAGUAGCGGGUCUGAGAGGAUGAUCCGCCACCCUGGGACUGAGACACGGCCCAGACUCCUACGGGAGGCAGCAGUGGGGAAUUUUGGACAAUGGGCGCAAGCCUGAUCCAGCCAUGCCGCGUGUCUGAAGAAGGCCUUCGGGUUGUAAAGGACUUUUGUCAGGGAAGAAAAGGGCGGGGUUAAUACCCCUGUCUGAUGACGGUACCUGAAGAAUAAGCACCGGCUAACUACGUG
rnacentral:rRNA from 1 species